rnacentral:rRNA from 1 species
AGUGAACGCUGGCGGUAGGCCUAACACAUGCAAGUCGAACGGCAGCACAGGAGAGCUUGCUCUCUGGGUGGCGAGUGGCGGACGGGUGAGGAAUACAUCGGAAUCUACUUUUUCGUGGGGGAUAACGUAGGGAAACUUACGCUAAUACCGCAUACGACCUACGGGUGAAAGCAGGGGACCUUCGGGCCUUGCGCGAUUGAAUGAGCCGAUGUCGGAUUAGCUAGUUGGCGGGGUAAAGGCCCACCAAGGCGACGAUCCGUCGCUGGUCUGGGAGGAGGAUCAGCCACACGGGAACGGAGACACGGUCCAGAUGCCUCCGGGCGGCAGCAGUGGGGAAUAUUGGACAAUGGGCGCAAGCCUGAUCCAGCCAUACCGCGGGGGUGAAGAAGGCCUUCGGGUUGUAAAGCCCUUUUGUUGGGAAAGAAAUCCAGCUGGCUAAUACCCGGUUGGGAUGACGGUACCCAAAGAAUAAGCACCGGCUAACUUCGUGCCAGCAGCCGCCGUAA